rnacentral:rRNA from 1 species
GUAGGGAAUAUUGCACAAUGGGGGAAACCCUGAUGCAGCGACGCCGCGUGAGUGAUGAAGGCCUUCGGGUCGUAAAGCUCUGUCGUAUGGGACUAACACAAUGAAGGUACCAUGCAAGAAAGGAUCGGCUAACUUCGUGCCAGCAGCCGCGGUAAGACGAGGGAUCCUAGCGUUGUUCGGAAUCAUUGGGCGUAAAGCGGGUGUAGGCGGAUUUAUAAGUCAGGUGUGAAAUCCCAGGGCUCAACCCUGGAAGUGCACUUUAUACUGGAAAUCUUGAGUGUGGUAGAGGUUACUGGAAUUGUUGGUGUAGUGGUGAAAUACGUAGAUAUCAACAGGAAUACCGGAGGCGAAGGCGAGUAACUGGGCCAACACUGACGCUGAGACCCGAAAGCGUGGGGAUCAAACAGGAUUAGAAACCCGGGUAGUCC